rnacentral:rRNA from 1 species
AGGACGAACGCUGGCGGCGUGCUUAACACAUGCAAGUCGAGCGGUAAGGCCCUUCGGGGUACACGAGCGGCGAACGGGUGAGUAACACGUGGGUAACCUGCCCUGUACUGUGGGAUAAGCCUGGGAAACUGGGUCUAAUACCGCAUAUGACUGCAUUCCGCAUGGGGUGUGGUGGAAAGUUCUGGCGGUACAGGAUGGGCCCGCGGCCUAUCAGCUUGUUGGUGGGGUGAUGGCCUACCAAGGCGACGACGGGUAGCCGGCCUGAGAGGGCGACCGGCCACACUGGGACUGAGACACGGCCCAGACUCCUACGGGAGGCAGCAGUGGGGAAUCUUGCGCAAUGGGCGAAAGCCUGACGCAGCGACGCCGCGUGAGGGAUGACGGCCUUCGGGUUGUAAACCUCUUUCGACCGGGACGAAGCGUGAGUGACGGUACCGGUAGAAGAAGCACCGGCUAACUACGUGCCAGCAGCCGC